UCACUCGAUUCAGUGAAUUCUCUCUCUCUUCUCUCUUCUUCUCCGAUGUCUUUUCCGGCGGUUUCUCUUCAGUUUAUCACUAUUUCUUUGAGUGAUUGACCGGUGGUCUUGCUGGUGAAGGCAACUACUUCGGUUGCCAAUGUAUUUGUGAAAUCUAGGGUUUUGUGUGUGAGAGAUUUGGCGCGAUGUUGUGUUCUGUGCUUCUAGAUCCGGUGUGAAGGAGUCGUAUGGUGUUGUUAUCGACGGUGUGAGGUUAAUCACUAGUCGGAUUCAACGAUUCUCCCUUGGGUCUGGUUUCUAGAGAAUAGAUCAGUUCUAUAGGGGUGUGGCUGAGCCAUCACCUUGAUCUAUUCUGUGUUCUUCUUGACUCUUGAUCUUCUUGUGUAAUAUCUUUAGAUCUAGCAUGAUCAUGUUUGUUAUUACUAACAAGUUCAUUGAGUGUGCAGAAACCUUCAAGAAGUGACGACGGUUAAUCAAGAAUGUGCUAGGGUUCUUAACUAUAAUUGUAAUAGUUGAUUAGCAAUUUCUUGUAGCUUGUAUUCUUGAUUAAAAUCAGCCCAUGGUUGAAAGUUUGGUUGAGCUCUCUUGUAUGAAGAACAAAGAGAUCUUGGUAAAUAGUGAAUCCGAACUGGUCUGAUCCCUACAGACUGGUUCAGGGUUGGGCCUGUGUGGCUCGGGGUGGUGGAUUGCGCUUGCAAGUUCUCCAAUGUCUCUGUGUAAGCUCGAUUAAGACCUGUGCUGAUCUGGUGACCUGUAACAUGGGGUGGACAUGUGGUCUUGGUCUGGUGGUCUUGGUUUGAGGGGAGAAUCGUGAGGGCAAACAAUAUCCCAUAGUGAAAAAUGAACAAGAGUUGCAAGCAUAUAAAUGGGCUACCCCAACUCCAUUAGUAUGAUGCCUUUUGGGAAGUACCCUAAGAGCAAAACCGUGAGGGCUUUGCCCAAAGCGGACAAUAUCAUACUAAUAUGGAGUUCGGGUGUACGCCACGGGUCCCCUUACUUUUGUAUUCAGCACAUUUUUUCGUAUAAUUUGUGUUUUGGAAUAAUUCAAACUCUAAUUAUACUCCUUAUUUUGUCUGUUGAGCCUUGUUGUGAAGAUCAUAUAUUGAUAAUGGCCUUUCUUCUUUUAAGAAUUAUCAUACUUGGUUUUACUUUGGAAUUUCUCUGAGGUAGUACUGCUGAACUAGACUAGGUGUUAUUGUAUUUAAGUUUUGUUCUGCCCUCGUGAGGCAAUUCUCGUUUCUAUAUACCUGAAUAGCUGUUGUAUAUAUCGAUUUCAAUUUUUUAUAUUGCCUUGGAUUCUGAUGGCCCUGGUUCAAUUCUAUUGCUAUUUACAGCCGAAACAGAUUCACGAGAUAAAGGACUUCCUGCUCACUGCAAGGAGGAAGGAUGCCCAGUCCGUGAAGAUCAAGAAGAGCAAAGAUGUUGUCAAGUUCAAGGUCAGGUGCUCGAAAUACCUCUACACCCUAUGUGUCUUUGACCUUGAGAAGGCCGACAAGUUGAAGCAAUCCCUUCCACCAGGUCUAAGUGUGCUGGACCUUUGAAGCUGGAACGAUCUGCCUUUGGAGAGUUGUAGCACGUCGAAAGGGAUUUAGCUUGAGCUUUUCUCAGUAUAUGUUUGAAGACUGUUUUGAUGGAAAUUAAUUACUCUCAUUUGUAGUGAAAACAUAUGUUGUGAUCAAUACAUGCCUUGGGUGUUUAAGAUCGUA